rnacentral:rRNA from 1 species
AAGAUUAUCGCUAGUAGAGAAGGCUACGUUAGAUUAGCUAGUUGGUGAGGUAAUGGCUUACCAAGGCUAUGAUCUAUAGCUUGUCUGAGAGGACGAUCAGCCACACUGGAACUGAGAUACGGUCCAGACUCCUACGGGAGGCAGCAGUGGGGAAUAUUGGACAAUGGGCGAAAGCCUGAUCCAGCUAUGCCGCGUGAGUGAAG